rnacentral:rRNA from 1 species
UACAGAGGUCUCAAGCGUUGUUCGGAUUCAUUGGGCGUAACGGGUGCGUAGGCGGCGCGGUAAGUCGGGUGUGAAAUCUCGGGGCUUAACUCCGAAACUGCAUUCGAUACUGGCGUGCUUGAGGACUGGAGAGGAGACUGGAAUUCAUGGUGUAGCAGUGAAAUGCGUAGAGAUCAUGAGGAAGACCAGUGGCGAAGGCGGGUCUCUGGACAGUUCCUGACACUGAGACACGAAGGCCAGGGGAGCAAACGGG